rfam:Capsicum annuum cultivar Zunla-1 chromosome 2, whole genome shotgun sequence
GUUCAUCCAUGGGUCCUCUUUCACCCAUGGAAUGAUACAAAGAAGAUUAGAAUGACCCUUGCGCAAGGAUGACACGCACAAAUCGAGAAAUGGUCCAAAUUUUG